rnacentral:rRNA from 1 species
UACGGGGGGGGCAAGCGUUGUUCGGAAUUACUGGGCGUAAAGGGCUCGUAGGUGGCCAACUAAGUCAGACGUGAAAUCCCUCGGCUUAACCGGGGAACUGCGUCUGAUACUGGAUGGCUUGAGAUUGGGAGAGGGAUGCGGAAUUCCAGGUGUAGCGGUGAAAUGCGUAGAUAUCUGGAGGAACACCGGUGGCGAAGGCGGCAUCCUGGGCCAACACUGACACUGAGGAGCGAAAGCCAGGGGAGCAAACGGG